GACGAACGCUGGCGGCGUGCUUAACACAUGCAAGUCGAACGGUCAGGCCUUUCGGGGUCUUCCGUGUGGCUAACGGGUGAGUAACACGUGAGCAACCUGCCCUUGACUUCGGAAUACCAGCUGGAAACAGCUGCUAAUACCGGAUAUGACCCUGGUCCUCCUGGCCUGGGGUGGAAAGCUCCGGCGGUCAGGGAUGGUCUCGCGGCCUAUCAGCUUGUUGGUGAGGUAAUGGCUCACCAAGGCUUCGACGGGUAGCCGGCCUGAGAGGGCGACCGGCCACACUGGGACCGAGAGAAGGCCCAGACUCCGACGGGAGGCAGCAGUGGGGAAUAUUGCACAAGGGGCGCAAGCCUGAUGCAGAAGCGCCGCGGGCGGGAUGACGGCCUUCGGGUUGUAGAACGCUUUCAGUAGGGACGAAGCCACAAGUGACGGUACCUACAGAAGAAGGACCGGCUAACUACGUG
rnacentral:rRNA from 1 species